AUUGAACGCUGGCGGCAGGCCUAACACAUGCAAGUCGAGCGGUAGAGAGGUGCUUGCACCUCUUGAGAGCGGCGGACGGGUGAGUAAUGCCUAGGAAUCUGCCUGAUAGUGGGGGAUAACGCUCGGAAACGGACGCUAAUACCGCAUACGUCCUACGGGAGAAAGCAGGGGACCUUCGGGCCUUGCGCUAUCAGAUGAGACUAGGUCGGAUUAGCUAGUUAGUGAGGUAAUGGCUCACCAAGGCGACGAUCCGUAACUGGUCUGAGAGGAUGAUCAGUCACACUGGAACUGAGACACGGUCCAGACUCCUACGGGAGGCAGCAGUGGGGAAUAUUGGACAAUGGGCGAAAGCCUGAUCCAGCCAUGCCGCGUGUGUGAAGAAGGUCUUCGGAUUGUAAAGCACUUUAAGUUGGGAGGAAGGGUCGUUACCUAAUACGUGACGAUUUUGACGUUACCGACAGAAUAAGCACCGGCUAACUCUGUGCCAGCAGCCGCCGUAAGAC
rnacentral:rRNA from 1 species